CACGUAGGGGGCAAGCGUUGUCCGGAUUCAUUGGGCGUAAAGAGCUCGUAGGCGGUUCGUUAAGUCGGGUGUGAAACCUCCAGGCUCAACCUGGAGACGCCACCCGAUACUGUCGUGACUAGAGUCCAGUAGGGGAGCGUGGAAUUCCUGGUGUAGCGGUGAAAUGCGCAGAUAUCAGGAGGAACACCAGCGGCGAAGGCGGCGCUCUGGGCUGGAACUGACGCUGAGGAGCGAAAGCGUGGGGAGCGAACAGG
rnacentral:rRNA from 1 species